ACCGGCGGCUCGAGUGGUGGCCACUAUUACUGGGCUUAAAGCGUUCGUAGCUGGCCUGUUAAGUCUCUGGGGAAAUCUUCCGGCUCAACCGGAAGGCGUCUCAGGGAUACUGGCAGGCUAGGGACCGGAAGAGGUGAGAGGUACUCCAGGGGUAGGAGGGAAAUCCUAUAAUCCAUAGGGUGCCAACUGUGGGGAGGGCGCCUCACCAUGACGAGUCCCACAGUUAGGAAGAAAAACUAGUCGAACAACACG
rnacentral:rRNA from 1 species